CGGGCAACUACGCAGAAUUAGCCAAGAUCGAGUCUCUCCAUCCACGCAGCGACCAGCCAGCCGCCUGCCAUGGCAUGGUCUUCUCAGUAAGUCGAACACUGACCACAGUGGAGGCAUGAGUCAAGAUAGCUCACACAAAAAAGUGAGUGAGGGAGAAGCAGCAUCGAGUAGUCAUUGUGGUUAA
rnacentral:lncRNA from 1 species